rnacentral:rRNA from 1 species
UAAUACAGAGGGUGCGAGCGUUAAUCGGAUUUACUGGGCGUAAAGGGUGCGUAGGCGGUUAUAUGAGUGUGAUGUGAAAGCCCCGGGCUUAACCUGGGAAGAGCAUUGCAAACGAUAUGACUGGAGUAGUUGAGAGGGUGAUGGAAUUUCCGGUGUAGCGGUGAAAUGCGUAGAGAUCGGAAGGAACGUCAAUGGCGAAGGCAGUCACCUGGCAACAUACUGACGCUGAGGCACGAGAGCGUGGGUAGCGAACAGGAUUAGAUACCCUGGUAGUCCACGCUGUAAACGAUGAGAACUAGAUGUUUGUGGGGGAACCCAUGAGUAUCGAAGCUAACGCGAUAAGUUCUCCGCCUGGGAAGUACGGCCGCAAGGUUG